rnacentral:lncRNA from 1 species
GAAGAGGGCAUCGGAUCUAUUACAGAUGGUUGUGAGCCACCAUGCGGGUGCUGGGAAUUGAACUCAGGACCUCUGGAAGAGCAGUCAGUGCUCUUAGCUACUGAGCCAUCUCUCCAGUCUGUGUACGUCUUUGAGUGCAUGAGUGUUUUGCCUCAUCUGUAUAUAUGCGCCUGCAGAGGCCAGAAGGAGGUAUCAGAUCUCCUGGAACUGGAGUUAGAAUUGCGAGCUGCUGUGUAGGUUCUGGAAACAAAACUCGGGUCCUCUGCAAGAGCAGCAGGCGCUUUUAAGCCCUAAGCCAUCACUCUCGACCCUCCACCUCAUUUUUCUGAGACAUGGCCACUCAGCCAGGUGGCGAUGGUGGCACACACCACACCUUUAAUCCUAGCACUUGGGAGAAAGAGGCAGGAGGAUCUCUGUGAUUAUGAGGUCAGCAUGGUCUACAGAGUUCUGAGACCGCCAGAGCUACACAGAGAAACCCUGUCUCAAAAAGAAAAAAAGAAAAGAAAAGAAAGAAAGGAGAAAAAGCAAAAAAGGAAAAAAAAGAAAAAAGAAAAGAAAA